rnacentral:misc_RNA from 1 species
GAAGAGGAACUCAUUUGUCUAUAUUUUCGAGCUCUCCCAAGUUAUUAUCAACAUAAUUUUACAUUUUACUAGUUGCUAUUUUCAAAUUUUAUAUAGGUUAUAAUGAUUUCCCUUUUGUUUUUGCCACUAUCUUGCUGUUAUGGCAAUCAUUACUAUGACACUCUUCCUGCGAACUAAUAAGCACCGAAACGAUCUCAUAGAUGGAGGAAUUUAUUUGGGUGCUUUAUCCUUCACUGUGAUCAUGAUCAUGUUCAAUGGUAUGUCAGAGAUAUCUAUGACCACUGCACAGCUUCCUGUGUUUUACAAGCAAAGGGACCUGCUAUCCUAUCCUUCGUGGGCAUAUUCUCUUCCCGCAUGGAUUCUUAAAAUUCCUAUAUCAUUUUUAGAAGUUGGUGUUUGGGUGUUCAUCACUUAUUAUGUCAUUGGAUUUGAUCCUAAUGUUGGAAGGUUCUUCAAGCAGUACUUUCUCCUCUUAAUUGUUAACCAGAUGGCCUCUGCACAAUUCCGAUUUAUGGCUGCAACAGGAAGGAACAUGAUCGUUGCUAAUACCUUUGGGUCAUUUGCAGUACUUAUACUUUUUGCAUUGGGUGGCGUUGUCCUGUCACGAGACAACAUCAGGAAAUGGUGGAUAUGGGGUUAUUGGAUAUCACCAAUGAUGUAUGGGCAGAAUGCUGUAGUAGUUAAUGAGUUCACUGGAAAGCGUUGGAGUCAU